rnacentral:tRNA from 1 species
AGCAGUGUGGCCUAGUGGAAAGGGCAUAAGCUUGAGAAUUAGAGGAGCUGGGCUCUAAUCUCAGCUCUGCCA